rnacentral:rRNA from 1 species
UACGUAGGGUGCAAGCGUUGUCCGGAAUUAUUGGGCGUAAAGAGCUCGUAGGCGGUUUGUCGCGUCUGCUGUGAAAUCUGGGGGCUCAACCCCCAGCCUGCAGUGGGUACGGGCAGACUAGAGUGCGGUAGGGGAGAUUGGAAUUCCUGGUGUAGCGGUGGGAUGCGCAGAUAUCAGGAGGAACACCAAUGGCGAAGGCAGAUCUCUGGGCCGUAACUGACGCUGAGGAGCGAAAGCAUGGGGAGCGAACAGG